rnacentral:lncRNA from 1 species
UUUUUUUUUUCUUAUAUAUUUAUUCCAAACAGUUCUUGUAGUUGGGGAUCUGGAAAUAACUUGAUAAUUUUUAUUAGACAAAAACUAAUAAACUAAAUCAACAGAUCAAGUCAGAAUUAAAACCUUGACUCCUCAGCCACAAGUAUCAACCUCCAAUCCCACACAAAAGACAGCAAUGAACAUAAGGAGAAAUUUCAAGAAACAAAUUACCUGUUUUAUUAUUAUUUUUUGAACCCCACACACACAGAUAAACUGAUAUAUAUUUUUGUUACCUUUCAUAGCUAGUUAUAUAUAGCCAUUUCAAAUAGAUUUAUCCAUCUAGGUGACAAUAAGAAUCCUUUCUAAUAUAGGCACGAGGCCUGAAAUUUUGGGAGAAGGGGCAAGUCAAUUGCAUCAACCCCAGUACUCAACUGGUACUUAAUUUAUCAACCCCAAAAGGAUGAAAGGCCCGAUAUUUUUGGGGAGGGGGCCAGUCGGUUAGAUCGACCCCAGUACACAACUAGUAUGACCCCGAAAGAAUGAAAGGCAAGGUUGACCUGGGUGGAAUUCGAACUCAGAACGUAAAGACAGAUGAAAUACCACGAAGCAUUUCGCCUGGCAUGCUAACCUUUCUGCCAGCUUGCUGCCUUCGCCUUAAUAAUAAUAAUAAUAAUGAUGAUGGUUCCUAAGUUGGGCACAAGGCCAGCAAUUAUGAAAGGAACAGGUUUCAUCAAUAUUAACAAUUCCAGUACUUGAACUUUAUUUUAUUGACAUGCAGAAGGAUCCAGGGCAAAAAUAAGCCUGUCGUUCUUUGAACGCAACGCUAAGAGCUGGAAGGUAUGCCAUAAGGCAUUAUAUUUCGCCUGAUGCUCAGAGAGAGAUUAUGGCAAGCCACCGAUAUUGAUGACGAUAGAUCUUAUUGCUUUUUAAACAGUAGCGUACAUAGUUUACAUCUAAAUAAUAGGCAGAGGAUGUGCAUAGGAACAAUAUUGAACAGCUUUAGAUUAGCAAGGGUUCAAUGACAAGAGUCAGUUUGUCAGAAUCCUGACAUAAAUGUUUCAAUUUUGAUUUAUCGUUUACAAAUAUAGGUGUGUGUGUGUGUGUGUGUGUGUGUGUGUGUAAUUAUAGCUACCCAAAUAAAUUACAUAAAACUACCAAUCUUUAAUACUGUUUUAAGUUACAAUAUUAAAAGAUGUAUAUUAAUAUAUGUUACACCCAAGGCUUACUUUCUGUCUUUAGACGGGUUGUCUUGCACAUAUAUGUAUAUAUAUAUAUAUAUAUAUACACGUAUAUACAAUACGUAUACCUUAAUAUGUAUAUAUUCCUAUCAUAUCUAUCACUUAAUAAUCAUAUGCAUGGAUAUAUAUAUAUAUAUAUAUACACAUACAUAUGCACAUAUAUAUACACACACACAUAUGCAUAUAUAUAUAUACAUACACACAUAUAUGCAUAUAUAAUACACACAUAUAUACAUACAUAGAAACAAACACAUUCAUAUACAUAUCCCUACACACACACACACACCAGUAUUACAUAUAUGUAUGUAUUAUACACAUAAUAACAGUGAAAAAUAAAAUUCUUUUAAAAGCUUACCAAGAGACCGAAGUAAAAUAUUUUGAUAAUAAUAUAAAAUUGUUAGUGUAUGAUUUAGCCUUAUUUUCUUUUCAAAAUAUUUGUGGCAUUUAAAGAUCAUCAUCAUCAUCAUUAUUAUCAUUAUUAUUAUUAUUAGAAUGCAACACUGUCAUCAUCAUCAUAAUCAUCAUCACAUAAUCAAUAUCCUUUCAUACAGUAAUUUACGCAAAAAUCUAUAAUGAGACACCAAAAAGACAACUUCAGAUGCCUAUUUCUGUUUUUUUUUUUUCCUUUUUUCUCUUUUUCUUGAUAUAUCAAUGUUACUGUAGAAUUGAGGAAGAAAUCAACAGAGGUGAAAGAGUGUUUGUUGGAAUGAAGGUUCAGGGAAGAGAUAGGGGUGGAAAAAAAACCCAACAAAAACAAGAAACUGAAGAAGGAGGACAAAGGAGAAGGGACAACGAAAGGGCCAUAAUAAAAUAAAUUUUAAAUUUUACACAAUCAGCUUUUUUUUUUGUCGAAGAAUUGAAGACUGUGCCGUUUCAUGGCCCCAGCAGAUGUGAAGUUACGAUAUUCAUGCCUUUUUUUUUUUUUUGCAAGGGCUUAAUUUUUUGGGUUUUUUUUUUUUUUUGGAAUUGAAGUGACUUAGUGACUUAGAGCUUUAAACAGGUUUAAGAAAAAGAAACCAGGAUCUUGGAUUAAUUCAAUCCAAUUCUUUUUGUGACUAGCUUCUUUAUUUUUACACAGCACCCCCAUCUCACCCCCGCCCACACAAAAACGGGUAUGGGAGGGAGGAGGGGACAUGGAAAACAAUAGGGGGGAAAGAACAAAAAAAAAAAAAAAUAAAAACGAGGAAGGGCAAAACACACAGACAGACAUCCCUUUGAAGUGAAAUUUUUGCUUUUUUUUUUGUUGGUUUGAUGACGGGUGGGGGGUUGGGGGCGUAGGUGGGGGGACUGGUUUGCUGGACACGAAAACGAAGAUAGAUAUAUAUAUAUAUUAGAUAUAAUCGUGUGAGAUGGUUGUGGCGGUUGUGGUGAUGGUGGUGGCGGUGGAGAGGAAGACAGGAAUAUUCAGUGAAUUUAUAAUAAUAAAAAAAAAAAAACAUUCAAGUAAAAAAAAAAAACGGAGAAGACAUCGAGGAAAAAAAAAACAAAAAAAAAAAAAAAA